rnacentral:rRNA from 1 species
UACGGAGGGAGCUAGCGUUAUUCGGAAUUACUGGGCGUAAAGCGCACGUAGGCGGCUUUGUAAGUAAGAGGUGAAAGCCUGGAGCUCAACUCCAGAACUGCCUUUUAGACUGCAUCGCUUGAAUCCAGGAGAGGUGAGUGGAAUUCCGAGUGUAGAGGUGAAAAUUCGUAGAUAUUCGGAAGAAACACCAGUGGCGAAGGCGGCUCACUGGACUGGUAUUGACGCUGAGGUGCGAAAGCGUGGGGAGCAAACAGG